GCGGCAGGCCAAUCGACCCAACAGGAGCAAAGCAAGGGAGGCCAUCGGGCCUGGUGCAGGUUGCAAGCUAGCAGGCUGACAGGAAAGUAGCGAACGGUUAAUUCUUGCAACUUGGCUCGUUAGUCUCUAUUCUUUUGUCUAGCUUCUUAAUUAGAACGUACCAUUUGUUUAGCUUCUUAAUUAGAACUGUCACUUACUAAUCAUGUUAGUGGGUUACUGAUUAAGUUUCUUGCACGUUGCUAAUUAA
rnacentral:lncRNA from 1 species